rnacentral:rRNA from 1 species
AGAGUUUGAUCCUGGCUCAGGACGAACGCUGGCGGCGUGCCUAAUACAUGCAAGUCGAGCGAAUCAUUGGGAGCUUGCUCCUGAUGGUUAGCGGCGGACGGGUGAGUAACACGUGGGCAACCUGCCUGUAAGACUGGGAUAACACCGGGAAACCGGUGCUAAUACCGGAUAAUUCUUUCCCUCACAUGAGGGAAAGCUGAAAGUCGGUUUCGGCUGACACUUACAGAUGGGCCCGCGGCGCAUUAGCUAGUUGGUGAGGUAACGGCUCACCAAGGCGACGAUGCGUAGCCGACCUGAGAGGGUGAUCGGCCACACUGGGACUGAGACACGGCCCAGACUCCUACGGGAGGCAGCAGUAGGGAAUCUUCCGCAAUGGACGAAAGUCUGACGGAGCAACGCCGCGUGAGUGAUGAAGGCCUUCGGGUCGUAAAACUCUGUUGUUAGGGAAGAACAAGUACCGGAGUAACUGCCGGUACCUUGACGGUACCUAACCAGAAAGCCACGGCUAACUACGUGCCAGCAGCCGCGGUAAUACGUAGGUGGCAAGCGUUGUCCGGAAUUAUUGGGCGUAAAGCGCGCGCAGGCGGUCCUUUAAGUCUGAUGUGAAAGCCCACGGCUCAACCGUGGAGGGUCAUUGGAAACUGGGGGACUUGAGUGCAGAAGAGGAAAGCGGAAUUCCACGUGUAGCGGUGAAAUGCGUAGAGAUGUGGAGGAACACCAGUGGCGAAAGCGGCUUUCUGGUCUGUAACUGACGCUGAGGCGCGAAAGCGUGGGGAGCAAACAGGAUUAGAUACCCUGUAGUCCACGCCGUAAACGAUGAGUGCUAAGUGUUAGAGGGUUUCCGCCCUUUAGUGCUGCAGCUAACGCAUUAAGCACUCCGCCUGGGGAGUACGGCCGCAAGGCUGAAACUCAAAGGAAUUGACGG